rnacentral:rRNA from 1 species
CCUACGGGGAGCAGCAGUAGGGAAUAUUGCUCAAUGGGGGAAACCCUGAAGCAGCAACGCCGCGUGGAGGAUGAAGGUUUUCGGAUUGUAAACUCCUUUUGUUAGAGAAGUGAAUGACGGUAUCUAACGAUUUAGCACUGUCUAACUCCGUGCCAGCAGCCGCGGUAAUACGGAGGGUGCAAGCGUUAUUCGGAAUCACUGGGCGUAAAGAGCGCGUAGGCGGGAUAGCAAGUCAGAUGUGAAAUCCUAUGGCUUAACCAUAGAACUGCAUUUGAAACUGUUAUACUAGAGUUUGGGAGAGGUAGGUGGAAUUCUUGGUGUAGGGGUCAAAUCCGUAGAGAUCAAGAGGAAUACUCAUUGCGAAGGCGACCUGCUAGAACAUAACUGACGCUGAUGCGCGAAAGCGUGGGGAGCAAACAGGAUUAGAUACCCUUGUAGUC